UGUUGCUUACCGGGGCCACUUUCACACUU
rnacentral:sRNA from 1 species